rnacentral:rRNA from 1 species
AUCGAUGAAGAACGCAGCGAAAUGCGAUAAGUAAUGUGAAUUGCAGAAUUCAGUGAAUCAUCGAAUCUUUGAACGCACCUUGCGCUUCUUGGUAUUCCGAGGAGCAUGCCUGUUUGAGUGUCAUUAAUAUAUCAAUCUUCUCUUGUUGAGUGGUUUGGAUGUGGGGGUUUGCUGGCCUCUGAAAAGAGGUUCAGCUCCUCUGAAAAACAUUAGCAGAGCGACUCUGUUCAUUAGUGUGAUAACUAUCUAUGCUAUUGAAUGUGUGUGGUUCAGCUUUCUAACCGUCCUUGGACAAAUUUAUCAUUUAUGUGACCUCAAAUCAGGUAGGACUACCCGCUGAACUUAAGCAUAUCAAUAAGCGGAGGAAAAGAAACUAACAAGGAUUCCCCUAGUAACUGCGAGUGAAGCGGGAAAAGCUCAAAUUUAAAAUCUGGCAGUUUCUUGUAGCUGUCCGAGUUGUAAUCUAGAGAAGUGUUAUCCGCGCUGGACCGUGUACAAGUCUCCUGGAAUGGAGCAUCAUAGAGGGUGAGAAUCCCGUCUUUGACAUGGGCUGCCAGGGCUUUGUGAUGCGCUCUCAAAGAGUCGAGUUGUUUGGGUAUGCAGCUCAAAAUGGGUGGUAAAUUCCAUCUAAAGCUAAAUAUUGGCGAGAGACCGAUAGCGAACAAGUACCGUGAGGGAAAGAUGAAAAGAACUUUGGAAAGAGAGUUAAACAGUACGUGAAAUUGCUGAAAGGGAAACGCUUGAAGUCAGUCGCGUUGUCCAGGGAUCAACCUUGCUUUGCUUGGUGCACUUUCUGGUUCAAUGGGUCAGCAUCAAUUUUGACCGUUGGAAAAAGGUCAGGGGAAUGUGGCAUCUUAGGAUGUGUUAUAGCCCUUGGUCACAUACAAUGGUUGGGAUUGAGGAACUCAGCACGCCGCAAGGCCGGGUUUUAAACCACGUACGUGCUUAGGAUGCUGGCAAUAUGGCUUUAAUCGACCCGUCUUGAAACACGG